AAACCCUAGGGAUUGUUGACAUCAAGAAUUGGGGAGCGCUUCGAAUUCAUCCUCUUCGUUUGAUGAUUCGCUCUCUACCGCUCUUCCUCUGAAUUAACGCACUCCGGAUCAACAGUUCGAGUAUGGUAAAUAAAGAUUUCGUUUCGCGGAUUAGGAGUUUUCUGCACGAUAGGAGUUCUGUAGGAUUCGGGCGUUUUACUCGAGAUUGAUUGGUCAGUUGAUUGUUCUUCAACGUUGUGCUUACAAUCGCUGGAUUUCGGAACCAUGAGAAGUUCGUCCGAUCCAUUCCGCAUUCUUCUAAACCUCUCUUGCGUCUCUUCUUUGGAUCACUGGCGCGCGUCUUGCAUCCAGAGCACUGGGGAGUAUCGCAUAAGGCUAUUUUAAUCGAUUCUUGAUACAGAUACAGAGGAGGGACUUUCGAUCUUUGCAUUUCCACAUGUUAGUGUGGCUUUCAUCAAAAUUGAUAGCAGUGAACGCCGAAUUCUGACGGGUAAGAAGAAAUUGCGCAAGACAAAGGGAUUAUCGGCGGGGACGACACAUAAACUUCAUAAAAAAAGAGAAGGCACUCAGCAACAGCCUCCUUCUGAAGAAGACAUAUGAAACGUGCAUGUGGGUUAUUUUUUAGGUACUGUUAUUGCUCCAUAUUCCGUUCUCUCAUACCAUUUCUGGUAGAUUUUCGGUUUCACAUUAUUUUGCAGAGUUCUUGCGGUGAUUGGCGAAGAAGUAUUCGGUGUUCGUCAACAUAUAGGAGUGGUUUUAUAUGUUGUGAAAAAUUGAAUGUAAGAUUGAAGCAAGUCAUAGGUUAUCGCACGACAGGUGCGCUUACUUGAAAAGAUACUGGUGUGUGCAGUCCUGUGCGUAGUCGACCUUUGCCAUGACAGGUGCGCUUGCUUGGCAGGUCUAAAUAUAUAAAUAAAAGUUUGGUUUUUUGGGUUUCUGGGGAGGGGAUGGCACGGGCUCAUUUUACUAUUUUUGCCCGGCUCUUCCUCCCCAUUCUCUCCCUCUCUCUCUCCCUCUAUCCCUCCAACUUUCUAUUAUUGCUCAGUCUUCCCUCAGUCCACUAUUCAAACAACGUACAAACAAAGAGGAAUGUGUGCAGCAACUCAAUCGAUCGUGAGAUUGCAACCUCGAGACUCUGUUAUACAAAUUCUCUGAAGUUAUGUGUGUUUGACCACAUUGUGUUGCCGGAAUAAUACUUCUGCUGCCAGCAUGUUUAGCCAACGUAGAAAGAUGAUUCAAAUGGGCUUUUAUUUUGGAUAUUGUUUGAUUUCCUGUAUAAAGUCCAACUAUGUACCUGCAUUAUUGGUCCUUUGGCUGGUGAGACCAUUAUUGGCCGGUAGUUUUACAAAAUGUUGGAGAACCAAAAAAACCACACGGUGGUAGGGUUUAUAGCAAGACCUGGGAAGAGACUGUAGUAAAGCUCCAACUUCAAGCCCAUAUGGAAUUGUGGAAUUUCAACCAGAUUUGGUCUAUGGAGGAUGCCCAUUUCUAUGGCGAGCCUCAACAUAUGGAAUUGUGGAAUUUCAACAAGAUUUGUACUAUGUAUGGAGGAUGCCCAUUUCUAUGGCGAACCUCAAAAUCAAAUCUACUCGGCUUUGGCAGCAGUGUCCAGCAUAAUUUAUCUGAAAGAUGGUUGAUGAAGCCCGUGCAGUGCUCGAAGACCAGUGUUUUACUAGAAGUGAUGUUAGGCUGUUAGGGAUUGUAAUUAUAAAUAUAUUUUGUAUAUUGUCGUCUACGUUUCACUUAGGGUGAUUUAAUUUUUACUCAGAUGGAAAUCAAUGUAAUUAGGCUCCUAUUUCCCACAGCCCUAGCCUAUUUUGUAAAGGUAGGGGCUUCCUUCUGUAAACACACGUUUCUGGUAAUUAAUAAAAUAACUUUUUUUUUUUGGUAA